GCGGGAGGGCUUCCUCCGCGCCAGGCGCAGCGCCCGGUCGGGUUCCGUCGGGCGGCCGCGGCCAUGACGCAGGGUCCGGGUGGGCGCGCGCCCCCGGCGCCCCCCGCGCCCCCCGAGCCCGAGGCGCCCACCACCUUCUGCGCGUUGCUGCCCCGAAUGCCGCAGUGGAAGUUCGCGGCCCCGGGCGGCUUCCUGGGCCGCGGCCCGGCGGCGGCGCGGGCGGCUGGGGCCUCGGGGGGCGCGGACCCCCAGCCCGAGCCGGCGGGCCCGGGGGGCGUCCCGGCGCUGGCGGCCGCCGUCCUAGGCGCCUGCGAGCCCCGCUGCGCCGCGCCCUGUCCCCUGCCCGCGCUCAGCCGCUGUCGGGGCGCGGGGGCGCGGGGACCGCGGGGCGCGCGUGGGGCGGCAGGGUCUGGGGACGCCGCCGCCGCCGCCGAGUGGAUCCGGAAGGGCAGCUUCAUCCACAAACCCGCGCACGGCUGGUUACACCCCGACGCCAGGGUCCUGGGGCCCGGGGUCUCCUACGUCGUGCGGUACAUGGGCUGCAUCGAGGUUCUCCGCUCCAUGCGCUCCCUGGACUUUAACACGCGCACGCAGGUGACCAGGGAAGCCAUCAACCGGCUCCAUGAGGCCGUGCCUGGCGUCCGGGGAUCCUGGAAGAAAAAGGCCCCCAACAAGGCCCUGGCGUCCGUCCUGGGCAAGAGCAACCUUCGCUUUGCCGGCAUGAGCAUUUCCAUCCACAUCUCCACCGAUGGCCUCAGCCUCUCUGUGCCUGCCACGCGCCAGGUCAUCGCCAACCACCACAUGCCGUCCAUCUCCUUCGCAUCAGGCGGAGACACGGACAUGACGGAUUACGUGGCCUACGUCGCCAAGGACCCCAUCAACCAGAGAGCCUGCCACAUCCUGGAGUGCUGUGAGGGCCUGGCGCAGAGCAUCAUCAGCACCGUGGGCCAAGCCUUCGAGCUGCGCUUCAAGCAGUACCUGCACAGCCCACCCAAGGUGGUGCUGCCCCCAGAAAGGCUGGCGGGGCUGGAGGAGUCGGCCUGGGGGGACGAGGAGGACUCUUUGGAGCACAAUUACUACAACAGCAUCCCAGGGAAGGAACCGCCGCUGGGCGGGCUAGUGGACUCCAGGCUGGCCCUGACACAGCCCUGCGCCCUCACGGCCCUCGACCAGGGCCCAUCUCCUUCUCUAAGAGAUGCCCGCAGCCUGCCAUGGGACGUGGGGUCCACUGGUACAGCUCUACCGGGGGACGGCUACGUGCAGGCGGACGCCCGGGGCCCCCCGGACCACGAGGAGCACCUGUAUGUCAACACCCAGGGUCUGGACGCCCCCGAGCCGGAGGACAGCCCCAAAAAGGAUCUGUUUGACAUGCGACCCUUUGAGGAUGCCCUGAAGUUGCAUGAGUGCUCAGUGGCGGCAGGCGUGACAGCAGCCCCCCCUCCCUUGGAGGACCAGUGGCCCAGCCCUCCUACCCGCCGAGCCCCUGUGGCCCCCACGGAGGAACAGCUGCGUCAGGAGCCCUGGUACCAUGGCCGGAUGAGCCGUCGGGCGGCAGAGAGGAUGCUUCGAGCUGACGGGGACUUCCUCGUGCGAGACAGCGUCACCAACCCCGGGCAGUAUGUCCUCACCGGCAUGCACGCCGGGCAGCCCAAGCACCUGCUGCUCGUGGACCCCGAGGGUGUGGUUCGGACGAAGGACGUGCUGUUUGAGAGCAUCAGCCACCUGAUCGACCACCACCUGCAGAACGGGCAGCCCAUCGUGGCCGCCGAGAGUGAGCUGCACCUGCGUGGCGUGGUCUCACGGGAGCCCUGAGCCAGGUUGUGUGUGGACACGCGUCACUGCCCGUGGGUGGGUGUGUGCCUGAGGGUGGCAGUGUGCAGCCACGACCGUGACACUGCGAUUAGCUGUGAUGGACAUCACCUGGUCUUUGUGGACCCCUGUUGCGUGCUGGGUGUCCGGGCCUCCUUCCCAGAGGAGGGGUGAGCACUGCUGGAGAGGACGGUGGGCUGGGACAGGCAGGUCUGGGUGAUCUCACGGUCUCUCCUCUGGGGUGAGGUUGGGGCAGGAGAGGGUGCAGCUGUGGGGCUGGAGGGAGUGGAGGCUGAGAGAGCAGCCGGCGAGGAGGGAGGGCCUGCAGGGGGACGGGGCCGUGGAAUUUCCCAAGGGCUGUGCUUCUGGGCCAGGUCGGGCUGCUCUCCGGUCCCCAUGACAACAGUCUCCUUCCAGCCUCCUCUCUCCUGGGCGGCCCCUCCCCCACGCGGCCGCGGCCUCCACCCAGCCCCCAGCCAGGCCUCGGGCUGCAGGCAGAGGGGGUUCCGGGUCUGGGAGGGGCUCCCAUAAAGCACCUGAAACUGCCUGCGGCCUGCGGCACGCGGACUCCUGUGUUCCGUUCGCACCGGUCCCUGCCUUUGUUCUCUCGGAAAGGCGUUGGUGACCCCAGGAAUAACCUGGAAGGCAGUAACGAUUCCUGCUCAGGAGGCAGUUGCCCUAUCCUAGGAAUGUGCUCAACCCUUCGGUUCUGAGACAGGCACUGGGAUCGGCAUCCUCGCUUCCUUGCGAGGAAACAGCAGAGGUUAGGGCACCGCCCUAGAUCCACAGCAAGGACUCAGGACACCUGCACCGGAGCCCCAGCCGUGCGACCUGAGGAGCUCCUGGCUGGACCUGAGGUGACCGUUCUCAGCCCCGGCUCCUGCCUGUCGUGGCCUUGGGGCUCUCAGCCCUCCUCCUGGAUCCUGGUCAGGCCGAACCGCCGCUGCCUCUCCUUCCUCCGCAUGAGCCUCUGGCAUGGUCCUUCCUCCAGCUGGCCCCCGGCUGGGCAGAGCCUCCUCCUGCCGGGGCCCCUGCCCACCCCCUCCUUUGCCUGGAGUGAGGGUGUUCAUACCAAAGACGGAACCGUUUCGCCUUUAAAGAAAAUAUAUCCAGAAGCAGCCGCUGCCUUGGAGCCCUAGCCUGUGGGUCCCCCUCUCACCGGGCUGGUUCAGUCUAAUUCCCCGGAGAGUCAGGGCUCCCCGGACCCUGGGGAGGAGGUGGAUUCCGGGCCUGGCUGGGCUUCCUUUUCCCACCUGAGGACUGGGUGCACAGUUGUCUUUGAGGGAGGACGGUUAAGGUGCUUUGGGGUUCUCAGGCCAGGACACAUGCUGGCGCUGAAGUGGAGGCAGCCUUGAGGUCACCUGGGAUCUCGGGGUAGCCAGGCCGCUCCAAGACAGUGGAUAUCGAGGCAGUCGUGAGGCCCCUACUCCACCUGGGAGCAGGGGAAGGACGUGGUUGCCUGGCCCGAGCUGCGCCCAGCAGCUUCCCCCCAAUCCCGCCCUCCCAGCUGUGGACCCAGACCGGAUGUUCGGAUCGGUUUGUAAUUAAACCUGGGAAUGGCCACAAGA